GAUGAAGAACGCAGCGAAAUGCGAUAAGUGGUGUGAAUUGCAGAAUUCAGUGAAUCAUCGAAUCUUUGAACGCACCUUGCGCCCUUUGGCCAUUCCGAAGGGCAUGCCUGUUUGAGUAUCAUGAACACCUCAACUCUUUAUGGUUUUCCAUGAUGAGCUUGGACUCUGGGGGUUUUGCUGGCUCACAGUCGGCUCCUCUAAAAUGAAUCAGCUUACCAGUGUUUGGUGGGUAUCAUGGGUGUGAUAACUAUCUACGCUUGUGGUUUUUCCACCAGGUAACCUUCAGCAGUGGAGGUUCGCUGGAGCUCAUAGAUGUCUCUCCUCAGUGAGGACAGCCCUUUGAAUGUUUGAUCUCAAAUCAGGUAGGACUACCCGCUGAACUUAAGCAUAUCAAUAAGCGGAGGA
rnacentral:misc_RNA from 1 species